AGUGAACGCUGGCGGUAGGCCUAACACAUGCAAGUCGAACGGCAGCACAGAGGAGCUUGCUCCUUGGGUGGCGAGUGGCGGACGGGAGAGGAAUACAUCGGAAUCUACUCUGUCGUGGGGGAUAACGUAGGGAAACUUACGCUAAUACCGCAUACGACCUACGGGUGAAAGCAGGGGACCUUCGGGCCUUGCGCGAUUGAAUGAGCCGAUGUCGGAUUAGCUAGUUGGCGGGGUAAAGGCCCACCAAGGCGACGAUCCGUAGCUGGUCUGAGAGGAUGAGCAGCCACACUGGAACGGAGACACGGUCCAGACUCCUACGGGAGGCAGCAGUGGGGAAUAUUGGACAAUGGGCGCAAGCCUGAUCCAGCCAUACCGCGUGGGUGAAGAAGGCCUUCGGGUUGUAAAGCCCUUUUGUUGGGAAAGAAAUCCAGCUGGCUAAUACCCGGUUGGGAUGACGGUACCCAAAGAAUAAGCACCGGCUAACUUCGUGCCAGCCGCCGCCGUAA
rnacentral:rRNA from 1 species